rnacentral:rRNA from 1 species
AAGCUCAUUAUAACAGCUAUAAUCUACACGGCAAUUAUUCUUAAUUGGAUAACUGAGGUAAUUCUUGAGCUAAUACACGCUUUAAUGCCACAUUCGUGGUGCGUUUAUUUGACUAGACAUCAUAUUGGUUGACUCAAAAUAUCCUUGCUAAUUUUUUUUUUAAAAAUAUGCCGUAUGAGUAUCUGCUUUAUCAACUUUCGAUGGUAGGGUAUUGGCCUACCAUGGUGUUGACGGAUAACGGAGAAUUAGGGUUCGACUCCGGAGAGGGAGCCUGAGAAACGGCUACCACAUCCAAGGAAGGCAGCAGGCGCGAAAAUUACCCAAUCUUAGUUAAAGGAGGUAGUGACGAAAAAUGACAAAGCAACACUUUUUAAGUGUUGUUAUUGGAAAUCUUGCAACCUAAAUAGUUGCUUGGUAAAGGAGAGGGCCAGUCUGGUGCCAGCAGCCGCGGUAAUACCAGCUCUCCAAGUGCAUAAAAUGAUUGUUGUGGUUAAAAAGCUCGUAGUUGGAUUUAUUGAAUAAGUUCAGAGUCAUGUAUAUGGCUUCUGAAAUGUUCAUACUUUUGCAAUUAGCAAUAAUUGCCUGUUACUUUGAAUAAAUCAGAGUGUUCAAAACAGUCAUAUGACUGAAUAUCCUAGCAUGGAAUAACACUAUAGAAGUAUAUGUAGUGCGGUGUUUCACACAUUACUUCAUGGUUAAUAGAAACAAACGGGGGCAUUCGUAUCGAUACGUUAGAGGUGAAAUUCUUGGACCGUAUCGAGACGUCCUACUGCGAAAGCAUUUGCCAAGAAUGUUUUCAUUAAUCAAGAACGAAAGUUAGAGGUUCGAAGGCGAUCAGAUACCGCCUAUC